CCUACGGGAGGCAGCAGUGAGGAAUAUUGGUCAAUGGGCGCGAGCCUGAACCAGCCAAGUAGCGUGAAGGAUGACUGCCCUAUGGGUUGUAAACUUCUUUUAUAAAGGAAUAAAGUGAGGCACGUGUGCCUUUUUGUGUGUACUUUAUGAAUAAGGAUCGGCUAACUCCGUGCCAGCAGCCGCGGUAAUACGGAGGAUCCGAGCUUUAUCCGGAUUUAUUGGGUUUAAAGGGAGCGUAGAUGGGUUGUUAAGUCAGUUGUGAAAGUGUGCGGCUCAACCGUAAAAUUGCAAUUGAUACUGGCAGCCUUGAGUACAGUUGAGGUAGGCGGAAUUCGUGGUGUAGCGGUGAAAUGCUUAGAUAUCACGAAGAACUCCGAUUGCGAAGGCAGCUUACUAAACUGCCACUGACAUUGAUGCUCGAAAGUGUGGGUAUCGAACAGGAUUAGAUACCCCUGUAGUC
rnacentral:rRNA from 1 species